rnacentral:rRNA from 1 species
CCUACGGGUGGCAGCAGUGGGGAAUAUUGCACAAUGGGGGAAACCCUGAUGCAGCGAAGCCGCGUGAGUGAAGACGUCUCUCGGUACGUAAAGCUCUUUCAGCCGGGAAGCAAAUGACGGUACCUGACUAACAAGCCGCGGCCAAGUACGUACCAGGAGCCGCGGUAAUGCGGAGGGGGCAGGCGUUAUCCGGAUUUACUGGGGGUAAAGGGAGUGUAAACGGUAGCGCCAGUCUGGAGGGAAAAGCCGGGGGCCAACCCCGGAACUGCUUUGGAAACUGCGCACCGCGAGUGCAGGAGAGGUAUGCGGAAUGCGUGGUGUAGCGGUGAAAUGCAUAGAUAUUAGGAGGAACUCCGGUGGCGAAGGCAGCUUACUGGAGUGUAACUGACGUUGAGGCACGAAAGCGUGGGGAGCGAACAGGAUUAGAUACCCCAGUAGUC